CAGCCGCCGCGGUAAUACCGGCGGCCCGAGUGGCGGUCACUAUUAUUGGGCUUAAAGCGCCCGUAGCCGGGUUGGGAAGUCCUCCGGGAAAUCUGGCCGCUUAACGGUCAGAAUGCCGGAGGAUACUCCCAGCCUAGGGAGCGGGAGAGGCCGAGGGGAUUCCCGGGGUGGGGGUGAAAUCCUAUAAUCCCGGGAGGACCACCUGUGGCGAAGGCGCUCGGCUGGAACGCGUCCGACGGUGAGGGACGAAGGCCAGGGGAGCAAACCGGAUUAGAUACCCGGGUAGUCCUGGCUGUAAACGAUGCGGACUUUGUGUCGGACAAGCUAUGAGCUUGUCCGGUGCCGGAGGGAAACCGUUAAGUCCGCCGCCUGGGGAGUACGGCCGCAAGGCUGAAACUUAAAGGAAUUGACGGG
rnacentral:rRNA from 1 species